rnacentral:rRNA from 1 species
AAUCCGUCGAGCCUGGUUGGACUACCAGUGGCGAAGGCGCCUGACCAAAACGUGUCCGACGGUGAGGAACGAAAGCUGGGGGAGCGAACGGGAUUAGAUACCCCGGUAGUCCCAGCUGUAAAUAAUGCGGACUGUGGUGUUGCUUCAGAGUUAAUCUGCAGCAGUGCUGUAGCGUAGGUGUUAAGUCCGCCGCCUGGGGAGUACGGCCGCAAGGUUGAAACUUAAAGGAAUUGGCGGGGGAGCACCACAAGGGGUGGAUGCUACGGUUUAAUUGGAUACAACGCCGUGAACUUCACCAAGGGCGACGGCAGAAUGAAGGCCAGACUAAAGAUCUUGCCUAACAAGCCGAGAGGUGUUGCAUGGCCAUCGUCAGCUCGUGGCGUGAGUUGUCUGGUUAAGUCCAGCAACGAGCGAGACCCAUACCAUUAAUUGCUACUUUUACCUUUAGUAAGAGGCACCUUAAUGGGACUGCCCGCGUUAAGUGGGAGGAAGGAGUGGGCGACGGUAGGUCAGUAUGGCCCGAAUCCCUUGGGCUACACGCGGCAUACAAUGGCUGGAACAAUGGGUUGCUACUCCGAAAGGAGGCGCUAAUCCCCUAAAUCCAGUCUUAGUUCGGAUUGAGGGUUGAAACUCACCCUCAUGAAGCUGGAAUCCCUAGUAAUCGCGUGUCAUCAUCGCGCGGUGAAUACGUCCCCGCUCCUUGCACACACCGCCCGUC